rnacentral:rRNA from 1 species
AAUACGGAGGAUCCGAGCGUUAUCCGGAUUUAUUGGGUUUAAAGGGUGCGUAGGCUGUUUUUUAAGUUAGAGGUGAAAGCUCGACGCUCAACGUCGAAAUUGCCUCUGAUACUGAGAGACUAGAGUGUAGUUGCGGAAGGCGGAAUGUGUGGUGUAGCGGUGAAAUGCUUAGAUAUCACACAGAACACCGAUUGCGAAGGCAGCUUUCCAAGCUAUUACUGACGCUGAGGCACGAAAGCGUGGGGAGCGAACAGGAUUAGAUACCCUGGUAGUCCACGCAGUAAACGAUGAUAACUCGUUGCCGGCGAUACACAGUCGGUGACUUAGCGAAAGCGUUAAGUUAUCCACCUGGGGAGUACGUUCGCAAGAAUGAAACUCAAAGGAAUUGACGGGGGCCCGCACAAGCGGAGGAACAUGUGGUUUAAUUCGAUGAUACGCGAGGAACCUUACCCGGGUUUAAAUGUAGAUUGCAUGAGGUGGAAACACUUCUUCCCUUCGGGGCUAUUUACAAGGUGCUGCAUGGUUGUCGUCAGCUCGUGCCGUGAGGUGUCGGGUUAAGUCCCAUAACGAGCGCAACCCCUACCGUUAGUUGCCAUCAGGUCAAGCUGGGCACUCUAGCGGGACUGCCGGUGUAAGCCGAGAGGAAGGUGGGGAUGACGUCAAAUCAGCACGGCCCUUACGUCCGGGGCGACACACGUGUUACAAUGGCCGGUACAGAGGGUAGCUACCUGGUGACAGGAUGCCAAUCUCGAAAGCCGGUCUCAGUUCGGAUUGGAGGCUGAAACUCGCCUCCAUGAAGUUGGAUUCGCUAGUAAUCGCGCAUCAGCCAUGGCGCGGUGAAUACGUUCCCGGGCC